CACUAAAGGGGCACUGGAGAGUGCCCAAAGCAGUGAGGAGGAACCACUAAUAAAAAAGGAACUCCACACUGCAGUAAAAUGGUUGCGCCAAUAUAAACAGUUGUUCAGAGGUGCCUUGUCUGAGCCCCAUUUUCUGGAGGUGGAGGAGGAGGACCAAAGCCAAGCUCUCCAGGACAUCAUCGAUGCAGUCAAAACUGAAGAUUUAACUUUGGCAAAAGAACCCUUUUUAUUUAUUUUUCAGUUUAGGGAUGAUAUGGAACUUUUCUCUCAGGAAUGUCAGGAUAAAAUGAAACUUAAAGUAAACUGCAUAUUUAAUUAAUCAGUAUAAUUAUUGUCUGUUGCUACAUUGAUUGUUACUUGUAUUUUAUUGUGCAUUAAUGCUCUGUUGAUUUCAGUUUAUAAUACUUUGAUUUUUCUGUUUUCCUUUGAUGGUGGGUAGUUUUUGAAAAUAAACAAUUUAAC